CACGCCGUAAACGAUGAUGACUAACUAUAGCCGUGAGGCUGUGGUGAAGCAAACGCAUUAAGUCAUCCGCCUGGGAAGUACGGUCGCAAGACUGAAACUUAAAGGAAUUGACGGGUCCCCGCACAAGCAGUGGAGCAUGAGGUUUAAUUCGACGCUACGCGAAGAACCUUACCAGAACUUGACAUGGCGGAUAAUGCGGCAGAAAUGCAGAGAUAAGACACGCACACAGGUGG
rnacentral:rRNA from 1 species